UACGUAGGGUGCGAGCGUUGUCCGGAAUUACUGGGCGUAAAGAGCUCGUAGGUGGUUUGUCGCGUUGUUCGUGAAAACCCGGGGGCUUAACCUUCGGCGUGCGGGCGAUACGGGCAGACUGGAGUACUGCAGGGGAGACUGAAUUCCUGGUGUAGCGGUGGAAUGCGCAGAUAUCUGCAGGAACACCCGUGGCGAAAGCGGCGCGCUGGACCACUACUGACGCUGAGGAACGAAAGCUAGGGGAGCAAACAGG
rnacentral:rRNA from 1 species